AACACACGCACAUCUAGCGGUAAUAGGGGUAGUAAUCCGUGAUGAAGAGCGGGGAAGGGGUGAGCAAUGGUUGGUAAUCUGCCUAAUGGAGUGGAAUAACUAGUCGAAAGAUUGGCUAAUACCGCAUACGCCCUUCGGGGGAAAGCGGGGGUCGCAAGACCUCGCGCCGAUGGAUGAGCCGAAGUCGGAUUAGCUAGUUGGUAGGGUAUUUUCCUACCAAGGCNAGAGACAAUAGCUGGUCUGAGAGGACGACCAGCCACACU
rnacentral:rRNA from 1 species